AAAGGGACCAGCGCGUGCCCUACUGGCGGUGGAGAGGUUGGGCGGGCCCCAUAGGAUGCCCGCUUUGGAGCCACAGGACCUCAAAAUACGCUCCUUACAACGUGUUUUAUAGAGCGAAGUCUCGCUAUGCCACCCAGGCUGGAGUGCAGUGGCGCCAUCGUAGCUCACCGCAGCCUCGAACACCUGGGCUCAAGCGAUCCUCCCGCCUCAACCUCCCGAGUAGCUGGGACCACAGAGAUUGCCUGUUGGGGAUGAAUCGCUUAGCGAGACCCAGCCAUAGCUGGCUACGCUGAGUUCCGGCCCGGGACCGCGCGGAGAGGCAAGAUCUAUUCCCGACCCUCUCAUCUGGCAGACAGAACCCAGGCUUCAGGAAGAGAAGCGGCUUUCGCAGUUUCACGCUAGGACGGGCUGAGCUGGGAAUCGAUCCCAAAUUCCACAGUCCCAGUCCUCUCCUGGGUCCUGCUCUCCUGACUGCGUCUCAGGCCCAGAGGUGAUGGGGCACUUAGGGUUAGGGAAUGGCAGACCUGGAGAAAAGGGUUCCGCUACUACCCUCGGCUUUGCCAAACUUAACAUUUUGAAAUUCCAUUCCACAAAUGUGUAUUGCGUCUCUGGGAACAAGACAGCGUAAUGAGCAUCGUGAGAAAUCUAAGACGAAUCCCUAAACCGUCGCUGUCUUUAAAGAGAUUACAACCAUGCUAUAAUUACAUACAGAGCUGUAUCUCUAAUAAGG
rnacentral:lncRNA from 1 species